rnacentral:rRNA from 1 species
GUGGAGUUCCAAAUACCCUAAAAGCACCAGAUCUUGUCUGAUCUUGGAAAUUAAGCUGGGUCACUCCUGCUAAGUACUUGGAUGGGGGACUGUCCAUGAAUAUUAGGGGUUGUAGGCU